rnacentral:rRNA from 1 species
AUUGAACGCUGGCGGCAUGCUUUACACAUGCAAGUCGAACGGUAACAGGCCGCAAGGUGCUGACGAGUGGCGAACGGGUGAGUAAUGCAUCGGAACGUGCCCAGUCGUGGGGGAUAACGCAGCGAAAGCUGUGCUAAUACCGCAUACGAUCUAUGGAUGAAAGCGGGGGACCGUAAGGCCUCGCGCGAUGGGAGCGGCAGAUGUCAGAUUAGGUAUUUGGUGGGGUAAAGGCUCACCAAGCCAACGAUCUGUAGCUGGUCUGAGAGGACGACCAGCCACACUGGGACUGAGACACGGCCCAGACUCCUACGGGAGGCAGCAGUGGGGAAUUUUGGACAAUGGGCGCAAGCCUGAUCCAGCAAUGCCGCGUGCAGGAAGAAGGCCUUCGGGUUGUAAACUGCUUUUGUACGGAACGAAAAGGUUUGGGUUAAUACCCUGGGCCGAUGACGGUACCGUAAGAAUAAGCACCGGCUAACUACGUGCCAGCAGCCGCGGUAA